rnacentral:ncRNA from 1 species
GGACCUGAUAUCAGGCAAGAUUACCCGCUGAACUUAAGCAUAUUAAUAAGCGGAGGAAAAGAAACUAACAAGGAUUCCCCUAGUAACGGCGAGUGAAGCGGGAAGAGCUCAAGCUUAAAAUCUCCGUGCAAGUUUUGUGCGGCGAAUUGUAGUCUAUAGAAGCGUGGUCAGCAUGGGCACUUGGGGCAAGUUCCUUGGAAGAGGACAGCAUGGAGGGUGAUACUCCCGUUCAUUUCUGAGUUGCUCGUGCGUACGACCCGUUUUCUUUGAGUCGCGUUGUUUGGGAAUGCAGCGCAAAGUAGGUGGUAAAUUCCAUCUAAAGCUAAAUAUUGGUGCGAGACCGAUAGCGAACAAGUACCGUGAGGGAAAGAUGAAAAGAACUUUGAAAAGAGAGUUAAAGAGUACCUGAAACUGCUGAAAGGGAACCGAAUCGUUUCCAGUGUCUAUAAUCCGUGGUAUAUUUCAUUGGCGAGUGUGUGCGUGCGUGUGCUGUGGCAGCGGCUUUUUUGGCUGCGCUCGGCGUGUGUGCUGUGUGUGCUUGCUGGUGCUCUGUGCUGCGGUGGGACGUCAAGGUCAGUUCGUAUGCUGCGGGAAAUGGCUGCCGAGGAGGUAGGGCUUACGCUUGCGUUUGUCUGUUAUAUCUUGGUGGACGAGUAGUCGCGGUUGGGACUGAGGUGCCUACAACGUGCUUUUGAGUGGGUUUGUGUCUCCGUGUGCGCCGUGUGCGGAUAGCUUGCUAUGCGUGUGUGGUUGUGUGUGGAUUGAUGCGAGCUUUAACUUGUUGCCGUUCGGGACGUUGACGAAAUGGAGCGAUUCGACCCGUCUGAAACACGGACCAAGGAGUCUAACAUGUGUGCAAGUGUUAGGGUGUGGAAACCCCAGCGCGAAAUGAAAGUGAAGGGCAGCGUAAGUUGUCUGAGGUAGGAAAUGCUGCGGGCUUCGGUCUGCGGUGUGGCACUAUCGACCGAUCAUGAACCUUCGUGGUGAAAGAUUUGAGUUUGAGCACAUAUGUUGGUACCCGAAAGAUGGUGAACUAUGCCUGAGUAGGGUGAAGCCAGGGGAAACUCUGGUGGAAGCUCGUAGCGAUUCUGACGUGCAAAUCGAUCGUCAAACUUGGGUAUAGGGGCGAAAGACUAAUCGAACCAUCUAGUAGCUGGUUCCCUCCGAAAUUUCCCUCAGGAUAGCAGCAACUUAUUUACGAUAGUUUUAUGAGGUAAAGCGAAUGAUUAGAGGAUUCGGGGAAGAAACUUCCUCGACCUAUUCUCAAACUUUAAAUCUGUAAGACCUGCAGGUUUCUUAAUUGAACUUGUGGAUGUGAAUAUCAAGUUGCUAGUGGGCCAUACGGGGUAAGCUCGUCUGGCGAUGCGGGAUGAACCGAACGCAAAGUAAAAGUGCCAAAAUGCUCGCUCACCUAGAUACCAUAAAAGGUGUUGGUUCAUUUAGACAGCAGGACGGUGGCCAUGGAAGUCGGAAUCCGCUAAGGAGUGUGUAACAACUCACCUGCCGAAUGAACUAGCCCUGAAAAUGGAUGGCGCUAAAGCGGGCUACUUAUACUUUGCCGUUAGCGCGAUAGCAUGAGUAAUGUACGCGUUAAUGAGUAGGAGGGCGUGAAGGUCGUGAAGAAGCUCGUGGCGUGAGCCUGAGUGAAACGGCCUUUAGUGCAGAUCUUGGUGGUAGUAGCAAAUAUUCAAAUGCGAACUUUGAAGACUGAAGUGGAGAAAGGUUCCGUGUGAUCAGUAAUUGGACACGGGUGAGUCGAUCCUAAGAGAUAGGAUAAUUCCGUUUGAAAGCUGGGCUGUUUGAGGCGUGGGGUUCGUCCUUGCGUUUUGUAUGCAGCCUCGUGUAUCGAAAGGGAAUCAGGUUAAUAUUCCUGAACCGAGACGUGGAUAAUAUGUGGUAACACAACCGACCCAGGAGACGCUAGCGUGUGCCCAGGGAAGAGUUCUCUUUUCUUUUUAACCAGCAUAUCCUGCCUUGGAAACGGAUUAUCCGGCGAUAAGGAGGAUGCCUUGGCAAAA